UACAGAGGUCCCAAGCGUUGUUCGGAUUCACUGGGCGUAAAGGGCGCGUAGGCGGCCUGCUAAGUCGAACGUGAAAUCCCUGGGCUCAACCCAGGAACUGCGUCCGAUACUGGUUGGCUUGAAUCCGGGAGAGGGAUGUGGAAUUCCAGGUGUAGCGGUGAAAUGCGUAGAUAUCGGGAGGAACACCAGUGGCGAAGGCGGCUUCCUGGCCUGUUCUUGACGCUGAGGCGCGAAAGCUAGGGGAGCAAACGGG
rnacentral:rRNA from 1 species